UUGACGGGGGCUCACACAGCGGUGGAGCAUGUUGCUUAAUUCGAGGCAACGCGAAGAACCUUACCUGGGCUUGACAUGUACGGAUUAACUCUUGGAAACUUGAGCCACGCCUUCGGGUGGAACGUACACAGGUGUUGCAUGGCUGUCGUCAGCUCGUGCUGUGAAGUGUCGGGUUAAGUCCCUUAACGAGCGCAACCCCUAUCGUUAGUUGCCAGCGCGUCAUGGCGGGGACUCUAGCGAGACUGCCGGUGUCAAACCGGAGGAAGGUGGGGAUGACGUCAAGUCCUCAUGGCCCUUAUGUCCAGGGAUGCAAACGUGCUACAAUGGCGUGUACAGAGCGAUGCGAGACCGCAAGGCGGAGCAAAUCGCAAAAAGCACGCCCCAGUUCGGAUUGCAGGCUGCAACUCGCCUGCAUGAAGCCGGAAUCGCUAGUAAUCGGAGAUCAGCUACGCUCCGGUGAAUACGUUCCUGAGCCUU
rnacentral:rRNA from 1 species